rnacentral:tRNA from 1 species
GUGAGCGUAGUUCAAUCGGUAGAGCGCAAGAUUGUGGAUCUUGACGUUGCGGGUUCGAGUCCCGUCGCUCACC